GAUGAAGAACGUAGCGAAAUGCGAUACGUAAUGUGAAUUGCAGAAUUCAGUGAAUCAUCGAAUCUUUGAACGCACAUUGCGCCUGCCAGCACUCUGGCAGGCAUGCCUGUUCGAGCGUCAUUUCAACCAUCAAGCCCUAGGCUUGCGUUGGAGCCCUGCGGCUGCCGCAGGCCCCUAAAAGCAGUGGCGGGCUCGCUAUCACACCGAGUGCAGUAGAUUACUCUUAGCUCAGGGCGUGUGGCGGGUUCCAGCCGUGAAACCCCCUACUUCUCAAGGUUGACCUCGGAUCAGGUAGGAAUACCCGCUGAACUUAAGCAUAUCAAUAAGCGGAGGA
rnacentral:misc_RNA from 1 species